AUUGAACGCUGGCGGCAGGCCUAACACAUGCAAGUCGAGCGGAUGAAGGGAGCUUGCUCCUGGAUUCAGCGGCGGACGGGUGAGUAAGGCCGAGGAAUCUGCCCGGUAGGGGGGGAUAACGUCCGGAAACGGGCGCUAAUACCGCAUACGUCCUGAGGGGGAAAGUGGGGGAUCUCCGGACCGCACGCUAGCAGAUGAGCCUAGGUCGGAUUAGCUAGUGGGUGGGGUAAAGGCCUACCAAGGCGACGAUCCGUAACUGGUCUGAGAGGAUGAUCAGUCACACUGGAACUGAGACACGGUCCAGACUCCUACGGGAGGCAGCAGUGGGGAAUAUUGGAUAAUGGGCGAAAGCCUGAUCCAGCCCUGCCGCGUGUGUGAAGAAGGUCUUCGGAUUGUAAAGCUCUUUAAGUUGGGAGGAAGGACAGUAUGUUAAUCCCUUGCUGUUUUGACGUUACCAACAGAAUAAGCACCGGCUAACUUCGUG
rnacentral:rRNA from 1 species